ACGGCUACCACAUCCAAGGAAGGCAGCAGGCGCGCAAAUUACCCACUCCUAGCUGNNNNNNNNNUGACGAAAAAUAACAAUACGGGACUCUUAUGANNNNNCGNAAUUGGAAUGAGUACACUUUAAAUCCUUUAACGAGGAUCUAUUGGAGGGCAAGUCUGGUGCCAGCAGCCGCGGUAAUUCCAGCUCCAAUAGCGUAUAUUAAAGUUGUUGCAGUUAAAAAGCUCGUAGUUGGAUCUCGGGGGCGGUCCGGCGGUCCUCCUCGCGGAGGUUUCACUGCCGCGUAUUGCCCUCACCUCACCGGCUCUCCCUGGGUGCUCUUCGCUGAGUGCCCAAGGCGGCCGGAAUGUUUACUUUGAAAAAAUUAGAGUGUUCAAAGCAGGCGUUCUCGCCUGAAUAUUGGCGCAUGGAAUAAUGGAAUAGGACCUCGGUUCUAUUUUGUUGGUUUUCGGAAGUCGAGGUAAUGAUUAGUAGGGACGAUCCGGGGGCAUUCGUAUUGCGCGGUUAGAGGUGAAAUUCUUGGAUCCGCGCAAGACGAACUACAGCGAAGGCGUCUGCCAAGUGCGUCUUCAUUAAUCAAGAGCGACAGUCAGAGGUUCGAAGACGAUCAGAUACCGUCGUAGUUCUGACCAUAAACGAUGCCAGCUAGGGAUGGGCGGACGUUGCACUACGACUCCGCCCGGACCUUCCGGGAAACCAAAGCUUUUGGGUUCCGGGGGAAGUAUGGUUGCAAAGCUGAAACUUAAAGGAAUUGACGGAAGGCACCACCAGGAGUGGAGCCUGCGGCUUAAUUUGACUCAACACGGGGAAACUCACCCGGCCCGGACACCGUAAGGAUUGACAGAUUGAAAGCUCUUUCUUGAUUCGGUGGGUGGUGGUGCAUGGCCGUUCUUAGUUGGUGGAGCGAUUUGUCUGGUUAAUUCCGAUAACGAACGAGACUCUAGCCUGCUAAAUAGUUCGUCGGUAACGUAUAGCCGGCGCAACUUCUUAGAGGGACAAGUGGCGUUCAGCCACGCGAGAUUGAGCAAUAACAGGUCUGUGAUGCCCUUAGAUGUUCGGGGCCGCACGCGCGCUACACUGAAGGAAUCAGCUGGUCUCUCCUGGCCUGAAAAGGUCGGGCAACCCGUUGAACCUCCUUCGUGCUAGGGAUUGGGGGUUGCAAUUCUUCCCCAUGAACGAGGAAUUCCCAGUAGGCGCGAGUCAUCAGCUCGCGUCGAUUACGUCCCUGCCCUUUGUACACACCGCCCGUCGCUACUACCGAUCGGAUGGUUUAGUGAGACCCUCGGACUGGUCCCGUCGAAGUGGGCAACCGCCUCGACNCUGUGCCGGGAAGAAGGUCGAACUUGACUAUCUAGAGGAAGUAAAAGUCGUAACAAGGUUCCCNUAGGGGNNC
rnacentral:rRNA from 1 species